AACCUGCGGAGGGAUCAUUACUGAGUGAGGGCCUUCGGGCUCGACCUCCAACCCUUUGUGAACACAACUUGUUGCUUCGGGGGCGACCCUGCCGUUUCGACGGCGAGCGCCCCCGGAGGCCUUCAAACACUGCAUCUUUGCGUCGGAGUUUAAGUAAAUUAAACAAAACUUUCAACAACGGAUCUCUUGGUUCUGGCAUCGAUGAAGAACGCAGCGAAAUGCGAUAAGUAAUGUGAAUUGCAGAAUUCAGUGAAUCAUCGAAUCUUUGAACGCACAUUGCGCCCUCUGGUAUUCCGGAGGGCAUGCCUGUUCGAGCGUCAUUUCACCACUCAAGCCUGGCUUGGUAUUGGGCGCCGCGGUGUUCCGCGCGCCUCAAAGUCUCCGGCUGAGCUGUCCGUCUCCAAGCGUUGUGAUUUCAUUAAUCGCUUCGGAGUGCGGGUGGCCGCGGCCGUUAAAUCUUUCACAAGGUUGACCUCGGAUCAGGUAGGGAUA
rnacentral:rRNA from 1 species